UAGGUGAAGUUUGCUAAGCCCACACAUGGGUAGAGCCUUCUGCAACAACAUAUAGCUGCAUGUACCAAUAUAACAUAAGGUUUGAGGCACCUAUGGAUCUAAAGAAAGAGUGGGAAAGAUUAAUAUUUGAACAAAAGUAUGGGGAAGCAUUCACUUCAGCCCAUGAAUUGUUGGAUGUUUAUUUGGUUUUUAGAUAAUGCAGAUUUUGCUUAGUUUUUCAGAGUUUAUAAUUGAGAAGAUGAGCAUGUGCUCUUGAAGAAGCUAUUCGUUGGGGUACUGAUUAUCUUCUCAAAACUACUGCUCAUCCAAACACCAUAUAUGUGCAGUUGGGAGUUUUGUCUACGGCGGCACAAAAACAAAGAGCAAAUCUGGGACUGGACUUGAGUCAGCAAUGGAAUCUAAACAUCCGACAGGUGAGAAACCUCGUUUGGGGAUCGACUGAUGAGCCAUUCUGAUUAUGC